rnacentral:rRNA from 1 species
AUUGAACGCUGGCGGCAGGCCUAACACAUGCAAGUCGAGCGAGCGGCGGACGGGUGAGUAAUGUAUGGGGACAUCCCGUGAUGGCGGGAUAACUCCUGUAAACGGGGUCUAAUACCCCAUAGUCUCGGAUUAUGCAUAUGGGAGUAGCUAGUAGGUAGGGUAAUGGCUUACAUCGGCGCCGAUCCCUAGCUGGUCUGAGAGGAUGAUCAGCCACACUGGGACUGAGACACGGCCCAGACUCCUACGGAGGCAGCAGUGGGGAAUAUUGCACAAUGGGCGCAAGCCUGAUGCAGCCAUGCCGCGUGUAUGAAGAAGGCCUUAGGGUUGUAAAGUACUUUCAGUGGGGAGGCGUUACCGACAGAAGAAGCACCGGCUAACUCCGUGCCAGCAGCCGCGGUAAUAC